rnacentral:misc_RNA from 1 species
CAUAUCUAUGAGUGCCCGCAUACUGGCAGGUGGCUGCUUCACGAUCCUCUGCGCUAUCGGGGGUGCCAUCACAAGCCGUGCCCAAGCCGCCGCCCCCUCUUCUCUCCUCUCCACGCACGCGAAAGGGGAGGGGGUGGGGGCGCCUCAUCCUUUGCCGUCUUUUUCGGUUUCUGCCCUUGCUGGCACAAACGCGUGCACCUUCACUCAAGCCUCCCUACCCCCACAGAUACAGACACAUACACAUACCAACACCCACAUGAAGCGCCACGACAGCAGCGGCGACGCCAGCGCGAGCCUGCCGCCUCUGUCGCCGUUGCCGGCGCCUGUGCAAGAAGUCGACCACGCGCACGACGGCAGCCGGACGAGCAGCAGCAGCACUCCUGCUUCUCACCACACACUUGAAAAGAGAGAGGCUACCGGCUGCGGCGGUACUCGGCAUAGCUCCCCCGGUGGCGGCAAGAAGGCCGGCGACGAUGGCGUAGACGGGACCGAGAACGACAGCUACACGAGUUACUACGAGUACGACAGCGGCUAUGACGAGGAGAAUAGUAGUUUCGCUGACAGCGACAACUGCCGUGGCAGCGGCAGCGUGGAUGACGACCGAUCCUCGACUGCGGCUUCUCUGCUACCGCAGGAGGAUCUCUUGCGAUUUCUCAGCUACACACUUGCCGGGGCCGCGCUGGAGGAUCACCGACUCAUGGCAAUGGAAGCGUUCCGCCACAUCCUUGUGCUUGGCACGAACCAGGGAGCCGUCGCAGUCGUCGAGCCGUCCUCCGGAAAACUCAAGGAGGUGUACACGAACCAUCACGAGCCGAUCUGCGAUGUGGACUGCACCAUCAACGAGCUCUACAUAGCGGCAUGCGACAAGGCCGGGCAUGUCACGAUUCAAAGCCGCCGUGAUGUGAAGGACGUGUGGAUGGCGGAGCUGAACGGUCCGAUCGAGUCUGUCGCCCUGCACCCGCUGUACCACAAGAUGGACAGCUGUCCGAUGGUGUGCGGCGGGUCGACCAAGGUACUCCUGCUCACCAAAGGUGUGCUGUGGAGCAACAGUCGGCGCGUCAGAACUCUGCAGGAGGGACGGGGGCGCAUUCACAAGGUCCGCUGGUGCCACACGGCCGCGAUCGACGUUGUCGCGUGGCUAUCUGAUGCGGAGAUAACCCUCUACAACAUGAAGAGCGGGGCCGUGGCGCGCCGCAUUUCUUUGCCCGACCUCACAGCACAGAACGCCUUGUACCCACCGACGCUACGAUGGGAGCAGAAUUUGUCGAGGGACCCGACCGCAGCUGCCACUUCGACAGCCACGUUGCUGUGCGGAUGGGGCGACGUAGUGCAAGAGGUCCGGCUGCACGCCGACCCUCACGCGCGUCGACUGAGCGGCGGGGGCCUUUUUGGUGUCGAUCGGUCGCCUCGCUCCACCUUGUUGCAAGGCGGAUGGCGAGGCACGUCCUCGUCGUCGUUUCCGCUGCGCGCGUCAUCCGGCAGUGCUGCUCUGGCACCAUCGCCAUCGCUAACCACCGCGGCUGGUGCGGCUGGGCGGUCACCGUGCGUUGUAGAGCUGCGCACGUCAAAGCCACUACGACCGAGCAGUACCUUGUUCCCUUACCGAGUCUGCGGCAUUGCUCCCUAUGGACCGCAGCGGUACGUGGUGCUGGCAGGCAUCGUCGAAGGCGACACGGAGGGGGUGCUGAAGGACUUGGAGGUGCGCGUGGUGGACCGCAACUCCUUGACCGAUGUUUACCGUGGUCGCAUGCCCAUCCGCUUCAUCCAUCCAUUGCAGCUUCACCUCACCUAUCUCGAGCUUCUGCCGUCGCUCGCUGCGAAGCCGGCGUCUGCGGCGUCGCCGCCCCAGUUCGCCUUGCCAGCGGACCCGUUGGCACCGUCUCCCAUGACGCAGUACUUCAUCCUCUCCGUCGACACAAUCGUGAAGGCGGUGCCGUCCGACGUUGAUGACCACGUCGAGUUCCUGCUGCGCACAAGUCAGUUUGAGCGCGCCUACCGGUACGCCGCGGCACAUGCGCGUCAGCUGCGGCGGCACGUCCUGGAGCACGUGGGACAGCAGUGGCUCAUGCAUCUCUUUCACAACCGUAGCACGGAGGAGGGGGCGCUGCUGAAGAUUCUCGAGUUGCUCCCGGAGCUGAUUCCACGUGACAACAGCGCUGCGUGGGAGCAGUGGAUCUACCGCCUCGACACAUGUGGUGAGUCGUGGCGGCUCAUCGCGCUCCUGCCAGCCAGCACGGGUGCUUCCGCCGAGUACAGGGUGGCCAGCACGCCGGACAUGCAGGAGGAGCAGGACGCGUAUGCCGAGCACGCUGACGCCGCGGCCCGGUCCCUCCCUCGCCCAGUCGCCACCCUGCAGACGCCGAUUCAGCGGGAGUACUACGAUCUGGUGCUGCUGCGCUGCCUCCGCCACGACCCGAGCCUCUUCUUUGCCGCGUUACACAAGUUUCACACGCUCUUCAGCGUGCCUGUCGUACUCAAGGCGACGGAGGUGGUGUACCGAGAGCAGUGCGCCGCCGCCGCCUGGUGGGAGGGCGACGACAGUGACGAGGAGAAGAACGAUAACGGAGACCAGCAUGGACAAACAAGAAAUACGACGGCGUCUAACGCGAGCCCUACACUCAGCACCGCCUCCGCUGACCAAAGUGGCGUGCCGUCGGUGGCACCAGCUUCUCCUCCACCGACUACUCCGCAAGGCACUUUGGAGGAGACGAGCGCCUCAAGGGCAGUCUCGCAUCCAUCUCCGGUGACCACGGCAGGUGCCGGCGCUACGUCUGCCCCGUCGAUGAGCCGAACAUCGCGGUGGUCAUUGGUGGCCAGCUACGGCUUCCUUCUCCGAUGCGCACGCCGGCACGAAGAGGCGCUGCAAGUGCUACUGCACUUGCCUGCCUCUCCACGCAGCGACCGUGAAGUGUUUGGCCUCAUCCGUGACCAGCAGCUUUUCCACAAGGCGCGCGAGCUGCUUCCCGAAUUGCUGCACAGAAGGGAAGACGCUACCUUGCAGCUGCUCAUGGAGCACGUGGUAGGAGCGUCAGGCCGUAACGGCGUAACAGACGGCGGUGACGCGGCCCUGGCCUUCCAAGUUGUCGUCGCAGAAACUGAUGGCACCGCUCCAUCUUCGCCGUCGCUGGAUGCGCUGCAGUACGGCUCUGCACAGGACCCACUCUGCACCGAGUCCGUCAUCAGCCGCCUCGAGAAGAGCGAUCGACUGCACCUGCUGCGCUAUCUAAACCUCGUCCAAAAGCGUUACCCGGAGGUGUUUGCUCAAGCAGCGAAGCAGCAUGCCCAGCUGGUGGCGACGCUUUACAUCGACUACGACCGCCCGUCUCUGCUCCCGUUUCUCAAGCAGAUGUCCAUGUACGUGGAGCGCAUUCGUGAGUUGCAUGCGCUCUGCCACAAACACCACUUCCUCGAAGAGGAGAUCUUUCUUCUGUUUCGCAUGGGCCGCGAGGACGAGGCGCUGCGCAUCCUUGUAGAAAAGGUGCACGACCUCCGACGCGCCUUGAAGUUUGUCGUCUCCGUCCCCGACCUCGAGGAGCAGGCGGCGCUGUUCACGCGACUCGUCGACUACACCGUGGCGUACAACGCGAGCCUGCCAACGUGCAGCCUCGACAGCGCAAAGGGCGCCACGGCCGGGUCUGGAGUUCGGAUGCGCUACGUGAUGCACCACACAAAACCAAACGAAACGUACGCGUCGAUCGCGGAGCAGUACCAUGUCGCUCUGGAGGACGUGUGCAAGGUGAAUGGCGUGGCAAGCACGUCCGGCGGCGCUGUCUCGCCACCACCGUCUGCCGCUGUGGAGGCCUCGAAGAGGCGCACAAGUUGCAGCUCACCCUUGCAGGGCCAAGGAGAAGCGCAGCGGCGCGCAUCCUGCGAUGCGGACGCCGCGAACGACCUGCCGACUCCACCGCCACAGUGCGUUGUGCCGCUCAAUCUCUUCGGCGACUUCCUCAGGGCCCUUGCAGAACCGCAGUUCAUGGAGCAUCCCGCGUUGGAUGUGCGACUCGUUCUGCCGAGGCUUCCGAGCCGUGAGCCCAUCCUGCACGCCGGGCCCAGCAUUGCUGCCAUCGCACACACCAUGGCAGAGGAGAUUGCGUUUUUCUCCACCGUGUGCAUGGUUGGCGAGAACGACUUGAUGGGCUACUAUGGGCAGCUGCUGAAGCGACGCACGGCGGCCAUCGCGAUGGGUCGACCUCGCCACCCCGUCGAGAGCGGCACCGCCACCAUGAACGAGGCUGCUACGACGGCCAGGCAUGCGGCUGCGAAAUCGGCAGAGGGCUCAGCGGUGGUGCACCGAUGCGCAGCUUGCCGCCAGCUGCUUGCGCAGCGGGUGGUCGUCUUUGCGUGCCAGCACAUGUACCACCCGGCCUGUGUCCUGCAGUACCUGAGGAAGUCACCGACGGACGCCUUCACCGGCGGAGGAGGUGCGACCUUUGGUGGCCGCGCUGGGGGCGCCGUCCCCGUGAUGCGCGACGGCGCGGCACUAGCGUUGCCUGUAACAUCCACUGCGGCGGCAUGGGCAGAGACGAUGGAGGGGGAGCUCCGCAAACUGCCGGUUUACUGCCGCGCGUGCCGUCAACACUCGGGCGAGCAGAGUUGAACCCGUCCCCCCUGUGCGCCCUAUCGGUAUUGUGAAGCGCACACGCACAGGUACAGAGAGAGAGAGAGCUGUGGCCUCACGCUCGCCUUUGUAGUGGCCGAUUCGGUCGUGACAAGACGGCACCAAUGCGCGUGAAGAGGGAAGAAGGGAAGGCCACUUUGAAAAACGGCAUCAUCGACGGCGUGACCGCUCGCUGAUCCGCGGCGGGCAAACCAG